AUGCCAUGAUGAGGUUCCACUUCAGGUCCGUGUUUCUGAAUCCUGAUUUUGAAAGGAAGUCCUGAGCCA
rnacentral:snoRNA from 1 species